rfam:Xenopus tropicalis strain Nigerian scaffold_145_contig_4, whole genome shotgun sequence.
CCUUCCAUAGCUCAGCUGGUAGAGCGGAGGACUGUAGGUGUGAUACAGCAAUCCUUAGGUCGCUGGUUCAAUUCCGGCUCGAAGGA